rnacentral:rRNA from 1 species
UACGUAGGGGCCUAGCGUUGUCCGGAUUUAUUGGGCGUAAAGAGCUCGUAGGCGGCUUGGUAAGUCAGGUGUGAAAUCUCCACGCUCAACGUGGAGGCGCCACCUGAAACUGCCAUGGCUUGAGUCCGGUAGGGGAGUGUGGAAUUCCCGGUGUAGCGGUGAAAUGCGCAGAUAUCAGGAGGAACACCGGUGGCGAAGGCGGAUCUCUGGGCCUUACCUGACGCUGAGGCGCGAAAGCUAGGGGAGCGAACAGG